rnacentral:rRNA from 1 species
AGAGUUUGAUCAUGGCUCAGAUUGAACGCUGGCGGCAGGCCUAACACAUGCAAGUCGAGCGGUAACAGGGGUAGCUUGCUACCCGCUGACGAGCGGCGGACGGGUGAGUAAUGCAUAGGAAUCUGCCCGAUAGUGGGGGAUAACCUGGGGAAACCCAGGCUAAUACCGCAUACGUCCUACGGGAGAAAGGGGGCUCCGGCUCCCGCUAUUGGAUGAGCCUAUGUCGGAUUAGCUAGUUGGUGAGGUAAAGGCUCACCAAGGCGACGAUCCGUAGCUGGUCUGAGAGGAUGAUCAGCCACAUCGGGACUGAGACACGGCCCGAACUCCUACGGGAGGCAGCAGUGGGGAAUAUUGGACAAUGGGCGAAAGCCUGAUCCAGCCAUGCCGCGUGUGUGAAGAAGGCCCUCGGGUUGUAAAGCACUUUCAGCGAGGAAGAACGCCUAGUGGUUAAUACCCAUUAGGAAAGACAUCACUCGCAGAAGAAGCACCGGCUAACUCCGUGCCAGCAGCCGCGGUAAUACGGAGGGUGCAAGCGUUAAUCGGAAUUACUGGGCGUAAAGCGCGCGUAGGUGGCUUGAUAAGCCGGUUGUGAAAGCCCCGGGCUCAACCUGGGAAUGGCAUCCGGAACUGUCAGGCUAGAGUACAGGAGAGGAAGGUAGAAUUCCCGGUGUAGCGGUGAAAUGCGUAGAGAUCGGGAGGAAUACCAGUGGCGAAGGCGGCCUUCUGGACUGAUACUGACACUGAGGUGCGAAAGCGUGGGUAGCAAACAGGAUUAGAUACCCUGGUAGUCCACGCCGUAAACGAUGUCGACCAGCCGUUGGGUGCCUAGAGCACUUUGUGGCGAAGUUAACGCGAUAAGUCGACCGCCUGGGGAGUACGGCCGCAAGGUUAAAACUCAAAUGAAUUGACGGGGGCCCGCACAAGCGGUGGAGCAUGUGGUUUAAUUCGAUGCAACGCGAAGAACCUUACCUACCCUUGACAUCUACAGAAGCCGGAAGAGAUUCUGGUGUGCCUUCGGGAACUGUAAGACAGGUGCUGGAU